CCUGGGGAGUGCAGCCGCAAGGUUAAAACUCAAAUGAAUUGACGGGGGCCCGCACAAGCGGUGGAGCAUGUUGUUUAAUUCGAUGCAACGCGAAGAACCUUACCACCCCUUGACAUACUCGGAACUUGGCAGAGAUGCCUUGGUGCCUUCGGGAACCGAGAUACAGGUGCUGCAUGGCUGUCGUCAGCUCGUGUCGUGAGAUGUUGGGUUAAGUCCCGUAACGAGCGCAACCCUUAUCCUUAUUUGCCAGCGGGUCAUGCCGGGAACUCUAAGGAGACUGCCGGUGACAAACCGGAGGAAGGCGGGGACGAGGUCAAGUCAUCAUGGCCCUUACGGGGUGGGCUACAAACGUGCUACAAUGGGGAGUACAAAGGGCAGCAAGUCAGCGAUGGCAAGCGAAUCCCAAAAAGCUUCUCGUAGUCCGGAUAGGAGUCUGCAACUCGACUCCUUGAAGUCGGAAUCGCUAGUAAUCGCGAAUCAGAAUGUCGCGGUGAAUACGUUCCCGGGCCUUGCACACACCGCCC
rnacentral:rRNA from 1 species